GGCCUCGUAGCUCAGCUGGUAGAGUACUCGCGUACAAAGCGUAGGAGGCGUCCAUGCGUGGGUUCGAAUCCCACCGAGGCUA
rfam:Echinostoma caproni strain Egypt genome assembly, scaffold: ECPE_scaffold0008391